GGAUGAAUGUACGUUUCCGCUAGUCCAACGCUAGUCGGAAUUCAUAGAAUGGGCUAGUCCAAUACUAGACCCUUAGGGAUUUCCCCUCAUUAGCAUAUCAUUUGCUUGUUCACCACAUAUCAUGCAUUUUUCUUAGUUUCAUCACUUGGCAUGCUCCUCGAACCCCCUUUCCCUUCAUUUUAGGAUUUUGCAUAUCAUGAUAGUUGUAGGGUCCAUUUGCUUGAGUGUCCCCUUCCGAUAAGGGAAACGAGCGAGUGUGGCUACUCGAUAGCCUUAGCACGCUAGUUUCGCCUUCUAAUCAAAGGGAAAAUCAAGUCACGAUUUAGGUCUCCCCGUACCCAAUAUGCAUGAAUUCCCUAGGCUCAUGCAUUCUCAAUCCACUCUAUCAUUACACUUUCACUUUUGUCUCAUUUGCACACAUGCACCUUUUUAUCACCUUCACUUGCACACGAACACCCUUUUAUCUUCACUUGCACACGAGCAUUUUAUCUUCACUCGCACACGAGUACUUUCAUCUACAUUUGCACACCUUCACUCUUAUCUUAUUACUUUUAUCAUUUUUCUCACUUCACACAAGCUCACACUUUCACAUGGCAUGCA
rnacentral:lncRNA from 1 species